rnacentral:rRNA from 1 species
UCCUACGGGAGGCAGCAGUGGGGAAUAUUGCACAAUGGGCGUGAGCCUGAUGCAGCGACGCCACGCGAGGGAUGACGGCCUUCGGGUUGUAAACCUCUUUCAGUAGGGAAGAAGCGAAAGUGACGGUACCUGCAGAAGAAGCACCGGCUAACUACGUGCCAGCAGCUGCGGUAAUACGUAGGGUGCGAGCGUUAUCCGGAAUUAUUGGGCGUAAAGAGCUCGUAGGCGGUUCGUCGCGUCUGUCGUGAAAGUCCGGGGCUUAACCCCGGAUCUGCGGUGAGUACGGGCAGACUAGAGUGCAGUAGGGGAGACUGGAAUUCCUGGUGUAGCGGUGAAAUGCGCAGA